UGGUGGAUUGAUUUGUCUGGUUUAUUCCGGUAACGAACGAGACCCUACUGUCGAUAAUAGAGUCUUCCAGGUAAUGGCUGGGGUUUCCCUUGGUUCUGGAAUUGAUUCUUCUAUCGGGGACAGCGGUCAAUUAGGCCGAGGAAGGGGGGGACGAUAACA
rnacentral:rRNA from 1 species